rnacentral:snoRNA from 1 species
GGGCACUGUUCGUGACCUGGCAGCCUUGCUGUGGCUGUCGGGUUCCAUUCCGGUGCACAGCAUCACCAUCGAUGCCAUGCAGCUGGCUGCCUGGGGGGCUUCCAGUUUGGGGUCUUGGAGACAAAA